UGGCUGACCCAGAGGCUGGGGGGGGGUGACUUGCCUCUUUCUAACCAACGCCCACAGCUGAGCCACUUAAAUGCAGUGUUUUCUUUUUCAUCAUCCCCUAUUGAUCAAGAGGUUGCCCGAUGCAUCUCCUGGCCUUGAGGACCAUCAUCUGCCAGUUGGAUUAUGAGGAGGACCCACAGAUCUUGUACCUUCCUGCUUUUCAUGCCACAGAGGGAAGCUGGUGUGAAUUGGGCACUAGGACCAUCUGAACCACCUCCUAGCAGUGGAUGCCCAGUGUAUUUCCCAGCAUCGAGGACCAUCCCUCCGCCAUUCAGACCGUGGCCUUAACUCUGAGAGCUGCCCACCCAUCGAGAUGCAGCUCCCUGUUGGACUGCUGCCUCAAAGGGAAGGUUUUGUUUUUUUUUUAAUAAUUUUGUGUGUAUGAAAGAUUGAAUGGGGUUAGGCCUAAGUGGUUGGGGGAGAGCUAUAAUAAAGAGGAGGCCACUGUGGAC